GGCGGUGGCGGUUUUUAUCUCUGUGCUCUGCCUCGACGCGGGAGGCAUCGGAUCAAUCCGGCCGAACUAGCUACCAGAAGGAUGGGUCACCGUCGUCCCCAACCCCAUGGCUCACCACCCGCCUCAGCUCACUCUCUGACAUCGCCGGCUGCAUGAUCUAGGCUGUGCGGGGGAAGAUUUGUGUGCCGAGUUGUUCUCGCCAUCGGGACCGACAGAUCCAGACUUCCAUCGAGCUCACGCAUCACCAUCGCCACCAGCAAGCACAAACAGGUGCUCUCCGUCGCCGUCGCCACUCUGCCUCAUGAGUACGUGCCCGCACCCAUGACGGCGAGGCGCUCCACGCCUGGGCAUGUUCAAAGUCUGGCGCCGCCUCCCACGCGCUCGUCUCAACCUCCCUUAUCACCUUCUACUCCUCCCUCCCGCGGCCCCUCGUCCCCGCGAACCUGGUCGUCUUCGCGGACAUCCCCAUCGUCGCCCGCGACGUCGCCUCGUGGAAAUUCCUGCUCAACCCACUCUCGCACCACCGCCCCCGUGCCGUGCUCUCCCACUUCCGCUCCAUGCUAUUUUCGUCCUCGCCUGCCAUCCUCCCGUCUUCUCACUCUUUUGCCGCCGUCUUCACAGCCGCUGCCCCACGGACGCAAACACCGCAGACCAAGUGAUGGUGUUUGCGUCGUCUAAGGAGAGGAACUCCAUCACUUGGUCUGCGGUGAUCACUGGGUACGCACAGAAUGGGAAUGCAGAAAGCGCAUUUAGAAUAUUUUUGCAGAUGCUUACUGAAGGGUUUUCACACCAAGUGAGUUCACUGGUUGCUGUGCUCAAUUCGUGUAGUGAUGUGGGAGCAUCGAUGGAAGGAAAGCAGGCACAUGGUUGAUGGUGAAGCUUGGGUUUGAGGCACAGGUGUAUGUGAAGAGUGCACUAGUGGACAUAAUGGGAGCACGAGGAAGCCUUGAGGUUGUAUGCCAGGAUGGACAAGGGGGCAUCAUUCUGACUAACUUAACUAUGUCCAUCGCGCGGCAUGGCUACCCGGUGCCGGUGUACAGCGACGGGGCCACCUGACAAGGACGUCAAGGUUGCGAUUGAUAACUGCAGCCAUAGGUCGUCAGAUCUGUCAUCGGCGCCGUUCUUCCGCUCGAUGCAACCGUCAUCCACGUGCUCCUCCUAAAGUUCCUCCUCGCCACCAUGGGUGGACGUCGGUGAGGCUAGCCUUCCCUCCAUGCGCAGGCAUGGUAUAAUAGCCAUAUUUCUUUGUAGGUGCAUUGGGAUUUUGUCUUGGAGAACCAAGAACAAUCCUGUUUUGAUAAGGGUGGCAUUUUUACAAGCUUUAGUUCUAACUUCUAACAUUAGUGUGCCUUGUUUCAGUUAUCUGUUAGGUUGAUCUCUCCCGUGUGGGCCCAACAGCCCAACGGACCCCUGAUUCGCGCCCUGAUCGGGGGCGCCCAACCACAAUAUGGUUGACGGGCCCCUGUCACGCAGCGCUACAUAAAGAGGUGGGGGUCGGCGGCACGCAGUACGAGGUUCACCGCGUUGCCAGGCUUCCCACCGAAAACCCCGACCCGAUCUAGGUCUAGCGCUGACAGUGACGGGAAGCUCCGCCGCCGCCACUGCCCACACACCGCCACCAUCCACUCACUGCCAUCACCGGCCACCGUCACCAUGGCCGGCACCGGGAGUUCCUCAUCUACACCUGGACAAGGAGGCUUUCACUUGAUGAGUUGCCUAAAAGAAGUUCCGACACUCAGAGGUGACAACCACACUGAGUGGAGGAAGAAAGUUGAACUGGCAUUUAUUUGUGCUGAUCUUGACUGGGUUGUGGUGAAACCACAGCCGGUCAGACCCACAGAGCCAGUAAGAGAGGCCACUGAUGAUGAUGCUGCAUGGGCUAAAAAGAAGGGGGAAUAUGCUCCUUUGGAGCAGUCCUACCUCAUAGAUAACCAAAAGUGGGUCAAUGCAAACAAAAAGUGCAUGGCUUUUAUAAAGAAUACAAUUGAGAGCGCCAUUGUGGGCUCCAUUCCAGAGUGCACUUCCGCAGGGGAGUUGCUUACAAAGAUAAAGAGCCAGUUCACUGGCUCUUCAAAGAUCUAUGCCACCCAGGUGUUAGAGCAACUGGUGACAGAACGCUACACAGGUGGUAGUCGUGGAAUAAGAGAGCACAUCCUCAGGAUGAGUAUAUGGCAGCAAAGCUCAAGCCCAUGGAUGCGGAUCUGGAGAUCAAACCAGCACUCCUGGUUCACCUAGUCAUGGCUUCACUGCCACAGGAGUUUGCAACUUUUGUUGUAAACUAUAAUAUGUCACCUGGAACAUGGGACAUUGAAAAGACAAUAGCAAUGUGUGUCCAAGAAGAGGACAGACUCAAAGCCGCACAUGGUGGUUCAAUCAACUAUGUGAAGGAUUGGAAGAAAAAGAACUACAAUCAAAACAUCAAAAGUUCUCCUUCAAAGAAUGGAAAAGCCCCCUAUCAGCAUCAGCAUCAGCAACAGCCUUUCUCAGUGGACAAAGACAUGUGUCUCCACUGCAAGCAGAAAGGGCAUUACAAGAAAGACUGCGCUGCUUGGCUGAAGUCAGUCAUGGAAAGGGAUUCCAUUCGACGCGAACUACGCUAAGAAGCGAAAGACGCAUUGAAGUGGCAACGGAGUUGAAGCAGAAGUUGAAGCUGUCGGUGAUAUCUCCUUGGAGUUAGCUGGCGGAUUCAAUCUUCUACUUGGAGAUGUUUUAUUUGUUCCAUCAUGUCAUAGAAACUUAAUUAGUGUUUCUUGUUUGGACAAAGAUAAUUAUGAAUGUCAUUUUGGACAUGGCAAGUGUGCCAUUUGGUAUAAUAAUGCUUAUGUGGGUGAUGCUUUACUA